CUGCACUCAAUGCGGAAAGCGCGUGAGCGCUGGAGCUUCAUCCGGGCACUUCAUAAGGGAUCCGCAGCUGCUCCCGCUCUCCAGGGAAAGUACAUGCCUUCCCUCGCCUAAGGUCUACUCGUCUAUGACUGUCGGCCUGCUCAGAGCGUAGUGACGUUGCAAGGAUACGUGAUGACGUAAAGGUUUCUUGGUGGAAAAAGCGCGCCGCUUUCUGACCUCUUGCCGCCACCUCCAGUUCUGGGAGCGGAGCGCCGCCGCUGUUGCCGGGCAACGCGGUGAGCCUACCCCGCGUGUGAUGUUUUCAGAGACGGGUUGUUUUAGAGACUGCUCUUCUUGUGGUCUUAUUACUGUUUUUACCCUCCUUACCCUAACAACACGCUAAGGGGCUAUCGGAGAGAGUAGAGAAGUUUUGUUAGGCAUUGGGCAGCUUGGGUCGGGGCAGCAGGUUGGCAGUGUGGUACUUGAGCAAGUGUCAGUGCAUCUUCCAUUCUGGUUGCUCCUGGUGGCUCCACAGCACUGCUCUAUCUAGCAGGCUGUGAAAGAGUGACCGCAAGCUGCUACAGAGUUUGUCCUGUCCUGCGCUUGACAACACUGCUGUUACCAUUAAUCUCGUCGUACGGAGACCAUGUCGCGGCCUGGUCUUAUUGGGAAUUGUCUUAAAUAUUUGGAAUUUUACCCUCAUAGCAAAAAAGUCAGGGGGAGGGGAUACCCUUUCAGUUAUUCAGGAUUUUACCAAACGUCUUCCAAGUACAGUCUCAGUGGCAAGCACUUUGACAUACUUUAUCUACGGGAGAUAUAUUCUGGGAACUAGAGAGAAAGGAGAGAAUGUGAUUUUAUUAGGUAAUUUCCCGGCAUCAUUUGCAUAUGUAUUGCCAUAAUGAGUAGGUGUGAGGAU
rnacentral:lncRNA from 1 species